GAGAACAGGAAGCUGAAGCUCAUUGAGGAAAAUGACAAAAUAAUGAGGAUAUUAAUGCAUGGUCUCAACACUACAUGCUAACUACUUCCUGAUGGAGUUGUGGUCAAAGGUGUUGUCCUUUGCAAAUUUCUCCAUGAAGGACAGAUGAUACUGAAUGGUCCAACUACUUGGGGUGUGCCGUGGUCAUGAAACCAGUCCCAAUCUUCGCCACACCGGGUGCAGGUAGAACCUCAGUACAUGGUGGUGUUUGUGUACCAAGCAUUUACGCUCACCUCGAUGCAGCUACACACAAAGGUGACCAUCAGGGUGAGGGUGGCAUUGAUAUGUUCUUCCCCCCCUUACCCAGAGUUUUGUACAUGGUAUCCCUGCUGACACAGACCAUCUUAGACCUCCAGAUGAAGUGGAAGAUGGCUCAGGUGACUGCAAUGGCACAGGUUUUGGGAAUUGGCCGGACCUGAGCCAUGUACAACAGACAGAGUGCCUCACACCUGAUGACCAGAUUUUUACCUGCAAUGGAGACGGAGUGGUGUUCCCAACAGUCCAGAGUCUGCCUCACCUUGGCGAUGCGCUCCUCUCAAGAUUUUGUGCAUGCUCCGGCCCCUCCUGAACCAUAUUCCCAGUACCUUCAGGUAAUCUGUCCUGACAGUGGCAGUGACAGAGUCAUCCAGGUCCCAAAGAACAUGGCUGUGCUGUUGUCUCGAUUUACCCUGGCUUCUGAGGCCAGUAUGGAACUGAUUGCAGAUGUUCAUGAGCACUAACAGCUGAUCCAAGCAGAAAACAGCUACAUCAUCCAUGUACAGGGAGACUUUGACCUGUAGGCCUCUGCUGCCAGGAAUAAUCACCACUCUCUGGCUCACAUCCUUCUUGAUGGGCUCAACAAAAGGCGCUAUACACCACAGAAACAAAGCAAGACAGAGUGGGCAGUCUGACUCUGAUGGGGAGGCUCACUGAUUGUAGCCUGUUGAAGGCUGGUUUCUGUCAGAGACUGAUUCCCAGAAACCUUCUUUGAGGUUCAGGUAUUUUAGUUGCCAAAACCACUUUGCAAUGCAGCCCCAACUCGGUAUUUGUGAGUUCCGAAGAAAGCACUCACAAAUUUUUAGCUUAACUGGAACUUUGGUCCUCUCUUUGUAACUCUGAUUAAUAGAUUUUAUUUGAACAGAUUGAAACAUAUCUUAAAAUGCAUUAAAAAGUGCAAUUCUCCAUGGA